rnacentral:lncRNA from 1 species
GCCUGAUAAGUAUAUUGAUUAAGGGUAGAAAGAGCUUGGGAUAGAUCCAAUUGUCUAAAUAACUGUACUUCUUCAAGGAGCUUCUUUGAUUCACCAGACUGAAUUGUCUUUUGAUAAAUGUCUUCUUGGAGUUCUGAAUUUAAAACUUCCUGUGUGCUUUUUCAACAAUCAAGUCUUUUGAACUUGAUUAUUGGUGGCAUCUC